rnacentral:rRNA from 1 species
GACGAACGCUGGCGGCGUGCUUAACACAUGCAAGUCGAACGGAAAGGCCCUGCUUUUGUGGGGUGCUCGAGUGGCGAACGGGUGAGUAACACGUGAGUAACCUGCCCUUGACUUUGGGAUAACUUCAGGAAACUGGGGCUAAUACCGGAUAGGAGCUCCUGCUGCAUGGUGGGGGUUGGAAAGUUUCGGCGGUUGGGGAUGGACUCGCGGCUUAUCAGCUUGUUGGUGGGGUAGUGGCUUACCAAGGCUUUGACGGGUAGCCGGCCUGAGAGGGUGACCGGCCACAUUGGGACUGAGGUACGGCCCAGACUCCUACGGGAGGAAGCAGUGGGGAAUGUUGCACAAUGGGCGGAAGCCUGAUGCAGCAACGCCGCGUGCGGGAUGACGGCCUUCGGGUUGUAAACCGCUUUCGCCUGUGACGAAGCGUGAGUGACGGUAAUGGGUAAAGAAGCACCGGCUAACUACGUGCCAGCCGCCGCCGUAA